ACUGCCUUAGCUCAGUUGGUAGAUUAUCAGAAUACAAAUUAGGAGGUAGUGAGUUCAAAUCUUGCAAGGAGUC
rnacentral:tRNA from 1 species